rnacentral:rRNA from 1 species
GACGAACGCUGGCGGCGUGCCUAAUACAUGCAAGUCGAACGCUGAAGGAGGAGCUUGCUUCUCUGGAUGAGUUGCGAACGGGUGAGUAACGCGUAGGUAACCUGCCUGGUAGCGGGGGAUAACUAUUGGAAACGAUAGCUAAUACCGCAUAAUAGUAGAUGUUGCAUGACAUUUGCUUAAAAGGUGCAAUUGCAUCACUACCAGAUGGACCUGCGUUGUAUUAGCUAGUUGGUGAGGUAACGGCUCACCAAGGCGACGAUACAUAGCCGACCUGAGAGGGGGAUCGGCCACACUGGGACUGAGACACGGCCCAGACUCCUACGGGAGGCAGCAGGAGGGAAUCUUCGGCAAUGGACGGAAGUCUGACCGAGCAACGCCGCGUGAGUGAAGAAGGUUUUCGGAUCGUAAAGCUCUGUUGUAAGAGAAGAACGAGUGUGAGAGUGGAAAGUUCACACUGUGACGGUAGCUUACCAGAAAGGGACGGCUAACUACGUG